GGAGCCCGGGAGGUCUGAGGAGGGCGGAGAGUCGCCUGCUCCGCUCGGUUUAGGCACCCGCGCUCCGCACGCGGAGCUGGGGAGCUGGGAAGUAGGUAUUGUUCUGCUUCUCAAUGACAAAUGGCUGGCUUGGAAGCGUAACUCUCCCCGCCCUUUGGAUCUCUGCUCCGUUCUCUUUUGGCACUUUGGGAUCCGAGGUAACACCAUGCUGGGAUGAGCGGCCCGGGAGGGACAGAUCGCCUGAGCCAGCCGGGUCUCCCUGCGUCUUGGGCAUGACUGAGCUGCUGCAGUGGGCCAGACAUCACUGGCGUCGGCUGAGCCAUGGGAGAGCCCAGGGUGAAGAUGAGAGGCCAUACAACUACGCCUCCCUGCUGGCCUGUGGGGGCAAGUCCUCGAGGACCCCCAGACCUGCAGGAAAGCACCGCGUCGUUAUUCCCCACCUUCAGUGCUUCAAAGAUGAGUACGAAAGGUUUUCUGGAACCUACGUGAAUAACCGGAUACGGACGACCAAGUACACACUCCUGAACUUUGUGCCAAGAAACUUAUUUGAACAGUUUCACAGGGCUGCCAAUUUAUAUUUCCUGUUCCUCGUGGUCCUGAACUGGGUGCCUUUGGUAGAAGCCUUCCAAAAGGAAAUCACCAUGCUGCCUCUGGUGGUGGUCCUCACAAUUAUUGCAAUUAAAGAUGGCUUGGAAGACUACCGGAAAUACAAAAUCGACAAGCAGAUCAACAACUUAAUAACCAAAGUUUACAGUAGGAAAGAAAAAAAGUACAUUGACUGUUGCUGGAAAAAUGUCACCGUCGGGGACUUCAUCCGCCUGUCCUGCAAUGAGAUCAUCCCUGCAGACAUGGUCUUACUCUUUUCCACAGACCCAGAUGGCAUCUGCCACAUUGAGACUUCCGGCCUUGAUGGAGAGAGCAAUUUAAAGCAGAGGCAGGUGGUGCGUGGCUACACAGAGCAGGACUCUGAGGUUGAUCCGGAGAAGUUCUCCAGCAGGAUAGAAUGUGAAAGUCCAAACAAUGACCUCAGCCGAUUCCGAGGCUUCCUGGAACAUGCCAAUAAAGAACGUGUGGGCCUCAGCAAAGAGAAUUUAUUGCUCCGCGGGUGCACCAUCAGAAACACAGAGGCUGUGGUGGGCAUUGUGGUCUAUGCAGGUCAUGAAACCAAAGCAAUGCUGAACAACAGUGGGCCACGGUAUAAGCGCAGUAAGUUAGAGAGAAGAGCAAACACCGACGUCCUCUGGUGUGUCCUGCUUCUGAUUGUCAUGUGCUUAACUGGUGCACUGGGUCACGGCAUAUGGCUGAGCAGGUAUGAGAACAUGCUCUUUUUUAACAUCCCUGAGCCGGAUGGACGUGUCAUCUCACCCGUGCUGACUGGAUUCUAUGUGUUCUGGACCAUGAUCAUCUUGCUGCAGGUCCUGAUCCCCAUUUCUCUCUAUGUGUCCAUUGAGAUCGUGAAGCUUGGGCAGAUCUAUUUCAUCCAGAGCGAUGUAGAUUUCUACAACGAGAAAAUGGAUUCUACCAUUCAGUGCCGAGCCCUGAACAUCACUGAGGACCUUGGGCAGAUUCAAUACCUCUUUUCUGAUAAGACAGGAACCCUCACUGAGAAUAAGAUGGUGUUUCGGAGGUGCAGUGUAGCAGGGUUUGACUACUGUCAUGAAGAAAACGCCAAGAGGCUCGAGUCCUAUCAGGAAGCUGUCUCUGAAGAGGAGGAAUGCACAGACACUCUCGGCGGCUCCCUCAGCAACAUGGCGAGACCCAGAGCCCAGGGCUGCAGGACAGUUCCCAGUGGGCCUCUGGGAAAGCCCUCGGCUCAGCUCUCCGGGAGCACCUCUGCUGUAGGAAAUGGAGAAGGAUCUGGGGAAGUGCCUCAUUCCAGACAGGCCGCCUUCAGUAGUCCCAUGGAAACAGACGUGGUACCAGAUACCAGACUUUUAGACAAAUUUAGCCAGCUUACCCCUCAGCUGCUCACUGGACUGGAUGGCACCGCUCAGAGUUCACCGCUGGAGACUUUGUACAUCAUGGACUUCUUUAUUGCACUGGCAAUUUGCAACACGGUGGUGGUUUCUGCACCGAACCAACCUCGGCAAAAGAUUGGACUCUCCUCACUGGGUGGAAUGCCCAUCAAGUCCUUGGAAGAGAUUAAAAACAUCUUCCAGAAAUUGUCCGUCCGGAGAUCAAGUUCACCGUCCCUUGCCAGUGGGAAGGAUUCAUCCUCUGGGACUCCCUGUGCCUUUGUGAGCAGAAUCUCUUUCUUUAGUCGACCAAAACUGUCACCUCCUAUGGAGGACGAGUCUUCCCAAAUGGAUGAAAUCCCCCAGGCCAGUAACUCAGCUUGCUGUACAGAAACAGAGGCACAAAACAGGGCCGUAGGACUCAGUGUCAGUUCCGCUGAAGCCCUAAGUGGACCACCGCCCUCGGCUUCCAACCUGUGCUAUGAGGCGGAGAGUCCAGAUGAAGCAGCUUUGGUGUAUGCCGCCAGAGCUUACCGUUGCACUUUACAGUCUCGGACCCCAGAGCAGGUCAUGGUGGACUUUGCUGCUUUGGGCUCAUUAACAUUUUAACUCCUACACAUUCUGCCCUUUGACUCUGUAAGGAAAAGAAUGUCGGUCGUGGUCAGGCAUCCUCUUUCCAAACAAGUCGUGGUGUAUACAAAAGGCGCUGAUUCUGUUAUCAUGGAGCUGCUGUCUGUGGCUGCCUCAGAUGGAACAAAUCCAGAACAACAGAUGAUAAUAAGGGAGAGAACGCAGAGGCACCUGGACGAGUAUGCCAAACGAGGGCUGCGCACUCUAUGUGUAGCAAAGAAGGUCAUGAGUGACACGGAAUAUGCAGAGUGGCUGAGGAAUCACUUUCUAGCUGAAACCAGCAUUGACAACAGGGAGGAACUGCUAGUUGAAUCUGCCAUGAGACUAGAAAACAAACUCACGUUACUUGGUGCUACUGGCAUUGAGGAUCGUCUGCAGGAGGGGGUCCCUGAGUCUAUAGAAGCCCUUCACCAAGCUGGCAUCAAGAUCUGGAUGCUGACAGGGGACAAGCAGGAGACAGCUGUCAACAUAGCUUAUGCAUGCAAACUCCUGGAGCCAGAUGACAAGCUCUUCAUCCUCAAUACACAGAGUCAGGAUGCCUGUGGGAUGCUGAUGAGUGCAAUUUUGGAAGAACUUCAGAAGAGAGCUCAAGUGUCUCCGGAGCUGGCAUCAUCAAGAAAGAACUUUCCUCAGCCCUCUGACGCUCAGGGCCAGGGACGUGCGGGACUUGUUAUCACUGGGAAGACCCUGGAGUUUGCCCUGCAGGAGAGUCUGCAAAGGCAGUUCCUUGAGCUGACCGCGUGGUGCCAAGCUGUGAUCUGCUGCCGAGCCACCCCCCUUCAAAAAAGUGAGGUGGUGAAAUUGGUUCGAAACCAUCUCCAUGUGAUGACCCUAGCCAUUGGUGACGGUGCCAAUGAUGUUAGCAUGAUACAAGUGGCCGACAUUGGGAUCGGUGUCUCAGGUCAAGAAGGCAUGCAGGCUGUGAUGGCCAGUGACUUUGCCAUCUCCCAGUUCAGACAUCUCAGCAAACUUCUCCUUGUGCACGGGCACUGGUGUUACACCCGGCUCUCCAACAUGAUUCUCUAUUUUUUCUACAAGAAUGUGGCCUAUGUGAAUCUCCUUUUCUGGUACCAGUUCUUUUGUGGGUUUUCAGGAACAUCUAUGACAGACUACUGGGUGCUGAUCUUCUUCAACCUCCUCUUCACAUCUGUACCCCCCAUCAUUUAUGGCGUUUUGGAGAAAGAUGUUUCGGCAGAGACCCUCCUGCAGCUGCCUGAACUUUACCGGAGCGGUCAGCGAUCAGAGGAGUACUUGCCCCUCACCUUCUGGAUCACCUUGUUGGAUGCCUUUUAUCAAAGCCUGGUCUGCUUCUUCGUGCCUUACUUUACCUACCAGGGCUCUGACAUUGACAUCUUCACCUUUGGGAAUCCCCUGAACACGGCGGCUCUGUUCAUCAUUCUCCUCCACCUGGUGAUUGAAAGCAAGAGUUUGACUUGGAUCCACAUGCUGGUCACGGUUGGGAGCAUCUUGUCCUACUUUUUCUUUGCCUUGGCUUUUGGAGCCUUAUGUGUCACUUGCAACCCACCCUCCAACCCCUACGGGAUCAUGCGGAAGCACAUGCUGGACCCUGUGUUCUACUUGGUUUGUGUACUUACAACCUUCGUCGCGCUCCUGCCGAGGUUUCUUUACCGAGUUCUUCAGGGAUCCGUGUUUCCAUCUCCAGUUCUCAGAGCCAAGUACUUUGACAGACUACCUCCAGAGGAGAGAGCUGAAGCUCUCAAGAGGUGGAGAGGGACAGCAAAGGUCAAUCACGUGGCAUCUAAGCAUGCCAGCCAAUCAGCUGCUAUGUCAGGAAGACCAACACCUGGGUCUUCUGCUGUCCUUGCAAUGAAGUCAGCAACAGUGUCUACUGUUGAGCAGAGCACACGUGAGACUGCGCUAGACCGUGGCUGCUCUGAACCUGGGGCCUCCAAGAUGACUGGAUCCUCAGCAAGCUAAACAUGCAGGACACCCUGCUUAGAGUUGCUGGCAAUCCUUCAAGUUUGGAAGGAUGUAGAAGAGCACCUCUCAGAAGUUAGGAUUACUUGUGGCUUUGUACAAGGGAUGUCAGCAUUUUGCUUGGCAUGGAAAAACCAAGAACCUCUCUAUCAUUGUAUACCUGUGAGCACAUUUGUAAACAAAGGAUAGUGUUUGACCAGAGCAGAGUUUAGGAACUGGAAUAUUUAAUUCAGGAGAAUGUGUUGUUUUUUUGAAACUUUGAUUUUUGUAAAGGAAUUUUAAUUGUCUUCUCGAUGCAAACAUUAUCAAAGAAGCUUAUUUGAAAUAUAUUUAUUUUACAGAUUAGCCUCACCAUGCAUUUGAAAAAUGCUUUAGGUAUUUAAGUAUUCUCCAUGGGUCCCCUGAUGCAAUGGGAGUGAACAUAAUUCUAUGAUGUUCUUUGUAACCUAGGUUUCUUUACCGAGUUCUUCAGGGAUCCGUGAAUUCUCCUUAUGAAAAUCCAACCUGAAUUCUCCUUAUGAAAAAAAAAAGUACUUUAAAAAAUUGUUCAUUAGGAAAACAUUAAUUUUUGAGGACAAAUUCCCAAGAGCCUUUUAUUUCCCAUGAGAGAAGGUUUUGGUUCCCGACUGAAGGUGUUUGACGUCACUCUCUGUCAUUUCAGCUUUCUGCUGAAGUAGCCUUUGUAGGGAAGGGCAAAGAAGAAGGCUAGUGUUUUCAACAAUCCCAGGCUGCCUUCUGCUCUGUUUACUUUGUUUACUGUUUACCCUGUUACUGAGUAGACGCAGAGACUCCCUAUGUGCCGAUGUUGUCAACCAGGAAACGGACAAAUGGCCAUGAAACACAAUCACCUGAGCCUACAGGCCGUGUGUGAGCAGCUCCUGGGUUCUAAAAUUGAUGACACUCAUGUUAAAAAUGAGACAAUCAUUUUGAAAGUCUUCCAGAGUCCGCUUGAGAGUUCAUAGUUGUAACAGUGCUCAAGAGUUUGUCUGUGUUGUGCCCUCCACAGAAUGAGAUAUGGGUUGAAAUUGAUACAGGUUAUUCUCAGUGGGAAUCUCCGAGGCUCUUAGAAAAAUCAACAUAUUGAAGGGUAGAGAUGUCUGUAGCAAGGUUUCUGCUGUGACAAAUCACGGAUGGAUGCUGUCUCCAUUUAGUGCCUAGAAAUUAACUUACACUAGUCAAGUCAAUUUGCUACUGUGAAAUCAUGCACUCUUGUUGAAGUCUUUCAAAGCUUCCAUAUCCACCUGACAGCUGCCACCUCCCUGUCAUCUAGAAUUCUCUUCAUGAACCUCUAUGCUAAAGAUCAGUGUCUACAUCAAAGUCUUAUAAACUGUUACUCUCAGGGCCUGUUACCCGCUGGGUACCAUCCCAGUCACUUUCUGUACCUUCCUGGUAUCGUUGUUAAAUGGUCUUUUCACAUAGACUGAUUUCUGGAACUGUCACAAAACCAUGUGUCUAAACGAAGCUGCCUUCUGCUUCCUUGAGAUUUUUUUUUUUAAAUAAAUUAUUUAAUAAAUGAUGUUCACUG